CAAAAUGAGGCUCCCUGCUCAGCUCCUGGGGCUGCUGAUGCUCUGGAUCCCUGGAUCCAGUGGAGACAUUGUGCUGACCCAGUCUCCCCUCUCGCUGCCUGUCACCCCUGGACAGCCAGCCUCCAUCUCCUGCAGGUCCAGUCAGAGCCUCCUACACAGUAAUGGAAAAACCUAUUUGCACUGGGUUGUACACAAGCCAGGCCAGUCUCCACGGAGACUUAUAUAUCAGGUUUCCAACCUGGACACAGGGGUCCCAGACAGGUUCAGUGGCAGUGGGUCAGGGACAGACUUCACACUGAAAAUCAGCAGGGUGGAGGCUGAGGAUGCUGGAGUCUAUUACUGCAUGCAAGGUACACAUGAGCCUCCGCUCACGUUCGGUGCCGGGACCAGGCUCGAGCUGAAACGGGAUGUGGCUAAGCCAACUGUCUCCAUCUUCCCACCGUCUUCGGAGCAGUUAGCAACUGGAGGUGCCACGCUCGUGUGCUUUGUGAAUAGCUUCUACCCCAAGGACAUCAACGUCAAGUGGAAGGUGGACGGCACCGAGCGCACCAGCAACGUCCAGAACAGCCUCACGGAGCAGGACAGCCAGGACAGCACCUACAGCCUCAGCAGCACCCUCUCGCUGACCAGCAGCGAGUACAACAGCCACAACGAAUUCACCUGCGAGGUCAACCACCAGAGCCUGUCCUCCGCCAUCGUCAAGAGUGUCAGCCGGAACGAGUGUUAGAGCCAGCAGCCGUGCCCUCGCGCCAGGGCCUACCCCGUGGCAGUCCUCCUCCCGCCUCCUGCCUCCUCCCUCCCCCUUGGCUGGAGUCACGCUGGCCGUGGGGAAACAACAAAUAAAAUCCAUCUUUGCACCUGA